rnacentral:lncRNA from 1 species
CAGCAAUGUGAGAGCCAUAGUCGAGGGCCAAGAGGACAAGAAGGUGGUGAGGGUUGUGGGCUCUGACAAAGUGACAAGAAGCUAAGGCCCAGAGGACUGCUAACUAGAUGGUGGAGGAGAAAAGGUGGCUCUUCGGCCAUCAUCAACUCCCAUUUCUUCCCUCUUCGAACAACAAAACCCUAGCCAUCGUCUAAGGCUCUAAGC